rnacentral:ncRNA from 1 species
CGACCCCAGGUCAGGCAAGACUACCCGCUAAGUUUAAGUAUAUCAAUAAGCGGAGGAAAAGAAACAUAUAAGGAUUCUUCUAGUAACGACAAGCGAAUCGGGAAAAGCCCAGCUUCAUAAUCGGGCGUCGUCAACGUUCGAAUUGUAUUCUGUAGAAGCAUCCUCAACGAAAGACCGGGUUUAAGUCCUUGGAAAGGGGCUCCAAAGACGGUAAGAGCCCCAUUACACUCAGACCUUGUUAUACCACGACGUGCUGUCAACGAGUCGGGUUGUUUGGGAAUGCCGCUCAAUCGGGUGGUAAAUUCUAUCUAAAGCUAAAUAUGGGCAAUAGACCGAUGGAAAACAAGUAUCGCGAGGGAAAGAUGAAAAGGACUUUGAAAAGAGAGUCAAAUAGUGCUUGAAAUUGUCGAACAAUGUGCCCUAGUCAAAUAUAGAACUGUAACGAGUCGGUCCGCCAAUCGACUUGAGGAAUGAACCGAUGCGGAUUGAGAAGGCAGCCUACGCUCAGGCCUUUGUUAUGCCUGUGGAGACGUCAUCAUCCUGAUCGUGCCUGGCAGCGAGCGCCUUCUGACGGGCUUCGACAUCUGCGCUCUCCUAGCAUCAGCCUGUGGCCUUUCUAUUCGACCCGUCUUGAAACACAAACCAAGAAGUUUGACAUGUGUCUGAGUUAACAGGCGAGUAAACCUGUAAAGUGCAAGGAAGCUGACUGUGGGAUCCCCUCGUAUGUUGCACCACCGAUCGACCUUGAUCUUUAGAGAAAGGUUCAAGUGUGAGCAUGUCUGUCGGGACCCAAAAGAUGGUGAACUAUGCCUGAGCAGAGCGAAACCAGAGGAAACUCUAGUAAAGGCCCGUAGCAAUGUUGUCGUGCAAA